UGCGGGAUGGCUGAAACAUUAAAGCGAAAGAUUGUAGCUCUUUUAAUGGAGGGGAUAACUCCUCCCGUAA
rnacentral:tRNA from 1 species